rnacentral:rRNA from 1 species
UACAGAGGUCCCGAGCGUUGUUCGGAUUCACUGGGCGUAAAGGGUGCGUAGGUGGCAUGGUAAGUUUGAUGUGAAAGCUCAGGGCUCAACUCUGAAAUGGCAUUGAAUACUACUGUGCUGGAGGUUUGGAGGGGGGACUGGAAUUCUUGGUGUAGCAGUGAAAUGCGUAGAUAUCAAGAGGAACACCAGUGGCGAAGGCGAAUCCCUGGACAACACCUGACACUGAGGCGCGAAAGCUAGGGGAGCAAACAGG